GGGGGGGCGAGAUGAUGGAUGGAGGGCUGCUGCACAGAAGGACGGAGGGAGGGAGAGAGAGAGGGAGGGACGUUCUCCUUCUGUUCCUCCGACAGGACUCCUCAGAAUAGUGACACUGCAGUAGCUGCAGCCUCUCUCUCCCCUCUCUCUCUCUCCCCUCUCUCUCCCCUCUCUCUCCUCUCUCUCUCCCCUCUCCCACUUUUCAAUAGAUCCAUUAUUUACCGUCUCAGUCUGUGAUCGGCCCCCACGCUGUCCGUCUUCCUGUCGCUCUCCGCC